rnacentral:tRNA from 1 species
GGUGUAUAGCUCAGUGGUAAAGUGCUUGCCUAGCAUCUGUGAGGCCCUGGGUUGCAUCCCCAGCACCA